rnacentral:tRNA from 1 species
AUAGAUAUAACUGGCGUAUCCUUGUCUUUUACGGUCUCCGGAACCGGGUGCGAAGGUUCGAAUCCUUCUAGGCGCACCA